UUGGAACAUCCUAGAAUGUUGUAGAGAAGCCUACUAUGUACUACACUAAGAAUUCUAAAAUGUAGUAGAAGGUAGUUGUCCUAGAUAUUUCUAUGAAAGGUUCUAGAGAAGACUUUGUAGCUCUUGGAUCAAAAAGAUCCUAGCCAUCCAUUGAGGAGAUGGAUGGCUAUAUAAGGGGCGAGGCCUUAUUUGUAAGGAUCAUCCAAGAGGAAAUCUAAGAGAGCUCAACAGUGAGUGCCAAGAGUGAAUCUUAUACUUUGUGUGCUAGUUAGUGUGGUCGAGACUCGCUAACAAAUUAUCUUGGUUUUGGUCAAAUUAACGUCCAUCAAGCCAAGAUAGGUCAUUAUGGGAUCAUGAGAGCAAACUCAUAGCGGCUGUACAUUCCCUGCCUCGAAGAUUAUUUGGGUUUUGCCGUUCAAAUAAUCAAAAAAGUUACAAAAGUAUUUUGACACUCAAAACACGUUGCAGUUAUACAAAGUAAUAUUUUGUGCUAGUCCACACGACAAGUUACUAAACUGUCUAAAAAUUUAGAAAUUUGUAGAAAUCAUUAUUUAAUGUUUCCCCUCACUACAGGAAAUAAUGGUUUUAAUGACGUUUAUUUAACGACGCUUUUUAAAACGUCACUUUUGUGAUAUUUAACGAUGUUUUAUAAACGCUGCGUAUUUUUAGAAUUAAAACGACCCUGUUUCAAUAAUAGAAGGCGUUUAAAACGCCUUCAAAUGUCUACACCCUCCCCCAUUUCUCUCUUUUCAAACCCUUAUUAUAAAUCCUCUGGAAAACGAUCGACUCACUCUCUCUCUCUUUAAACUCUCUUUAAACCCUAAUCUCGCUUUGAGUGAUUUCAAGCUCCAUUGCAGAUUCUCAGUAAAAUUCUCUCUCUCUCUCUCUCUCUCUCUAUUUAUACGAGACCUGUACAUACAUUGAUGUGGUAUUUGAUUUAUCGUUCAGAUGUUCGGGAGCUUUAUCCUGAUUAGGCUCCAUCGUCUACAAAGGUCAAGGCAUUGAGAGAAGGAAGAAAGGUGAAUGGAGAGAUAUACAACCAUGAGGAACUGCGCAAGCAUUUGCCUAAGCACAAGUUUUGGGCUGGUAGUGAUUGUGAGGUUAUCGCACAUUUGUAUGAAGAGUAUGGAGAAGAGUUUGUGGACAUGUUGGAUGGAAUGUUUUCAUUUGUGUUACUGGAUACCCGCAACAACAACUUCAUCACUUAGUAGUCAUCCCACUGUUCGGCCAAUGCCACAUCAACAACAAUCUCAAACAUUUUCAUCCUAAGGUUCACCUUUCAAAGAAAGAGAAGAAGAAUAAGAAGAAGAAGAACUAACAAGGUUGUGGUUUCACUUAAUAGUCAUCCCACUGUUUGGCCAAUGCCAUAUCAACAACAAUCUCAUACAUUUUCAUCCAAAGAGGUUCACAUUUCAAAGAAAGAGAAGAAGAAGAACUAACAAGGUAAAAGUUUGAUGUCCCUUUCUUUGAAUAAUAGGUUGGAACUGUUUAUUUGAAUAGGUUUAUUGAAUAGGACAAGAACUUGAAUAUGGCAAAUGGAAAUGCUUCAUAUGAUAUUCACCAUCCAUGCAGGUACUUCGAUACAUGUAUGUUUGGUUCUCUUUGAUGUCUUUUUUAUUUUGUCAUUAUUAUUACUGUUUUUUUUAACUAACCUUUAAGUGUUUUGAAUUGCCUGAAGAGUUAAUGAUGCUAUUCAGAGAGAACUUCACAAACCUGAGUCUGAUCGCUCUUGCAUACAUCUAGAGUUCAAUAUAUCAGGAACUGGUAAUAUGUGGCAAAGCGACGAUGUUUGGAGGAGUGCAAAUUGAUCAGCAGGAUCAUACGUGUAAUAACCCUCACCACUGUUUACUGAAAAGCUAUUGAUUACUGUUAAAUUAAGGCUAAAUAUGUUAAUUGACUGACUGACUGAAAACUGAAGCCGAAUUGAUUGAGUAUAUUAGUUAAAUUGCAACUCUAUCUGUUUGACUGUUUAAUUAGCUGUUCAUGUUUUAUGCUUUAAACUGCAAA